rnacentral:misc_RNA from 1 species
GUGAAUCAUCAAAUUUUUGAACGCAAACUGCACUCUCUUCGGAGAGUAUGCCUGUUUGAGGGUCAGCCUAAAAAAAAAAAUCGACAUAGUUGCUGUUUCUCGGUGACAUUCGUCGGAAAUUUGGUCAUCUUAAACCUUUUGGUUUUAAGUGGCUUAAAAUUUUCUUUACGAUUCCCCGAACGUUUCUAAAAUUUACUUCUUAAACGUUUAAGGUAAUUGAUCUUUCUUAGACCAGGCCGUCGCA